AUGGGACAUUUGUACAAUCCACAUAUGAAGAUAAGGAAGAAAGAGAUGUUUAUUUGCUGUCCAAAAAGUUCUCUCACGUCACUUUUGGCCCAAGAGAAGAUAGAGUCCAAGUCUCUCACGUUCUGGAUUCAGAUUCGGACUGCACAGACAUACCUGACUCAAAACGCACACAAGUUUUUCAUACGGACUCCGAAUUGGGUGAUUCUUUUUUUGUUGGAAACUAGAUUUCGUGCACUUUCCAACCCAAUUGGAAUCACCUUCAAAUUCGUCCGGAGCGUUGAGUUGUGGACGAAACAAUCUGAUGCUAUAGCAGAAUCCGAGUCAAACUACAAGUCCAAAGGUGUUACAUCACCUCCACUUGGGCCCAUUGGCCUUGUACGACCUAGAUUUAGUUUUAGGCUGCCUUGGGACGUCCUCCCACCUCCUUGGCCGCCACCCCUUGCUCCUAUAUAA
rnacentral:rRNA from 1 species